UCCGAGUUGACCCCGGCAGUCUCCUAUGAGUCCCCACCAUCACGUGCUGGCAACAUAGAACGAGGGUUGCGCUCGUUGCGGGACUUAACCCAACAUCUCACGACACGAGCUGACGACAACCAUGCACCACCUGUCCACCAGCCCCGAAGGGAAACCCCAUCUCUGGGGCGGUCCGGUGAAUGUCAAGCCUUGGUAAGGUGGGGAUGACGUAAGGAUAG
rnacentral:misc_RNA from 1 species